rnacentral:rRNA from 1 species
AACGAACGCUGGCGGCAUGCCUAACACAUGCAAGUCGAACGAGACCUUCGGGUCUAGUGGCGCACGGGUGCGUAACGCGUGGGAACCUGCCCUUAGGUUCGGAAUAACUCCCCGAAAGGGGUGCUAAUACCGGAUAAUGUCUUCGGACCAAAGAUUUAUCGCCUUUGGAUGGGCCCGCGUUGGAUUAGCUAGUUGGUAGGGUAAAAGCCUACCAAGGCGACGAUCCAUAGCUGGUCUGUGAGGAUGAUCAGCCACACUGGGACUGAGACACGGCCCAGACUCCUACGGGAGGCAGCAGUGGGGAAUAUUGGACAAUGGGCGAAAGCCUGAUCCAGCAAUGCCGCGUGAGUGAUGAAGGCCUUAGGGUUGUAAAGCUCUUUUAACCGGGAUGAUAAUGACAGUACCGGGAGAAUAAGCUCCGGCUAACUCCGUG